GGAGUUAGCCGGUGCUUCUUCUGUGAGUGAUGUCCUUCCUGCCGGCUAUUAACCCGCAGGCCUUCUUCCUCACUGAAAGUGCUUUACAACCCGAAGGCCUUCUUCACACACGCGGCAUGGCUGGAUCAGGGUUGCCCCCAUUGUCCAAUAUUCCCCACUGCUGCCUCCCGUAGGAGUCUGGGCCGUGUCUCAGUCCCAGUGUGGCUGAUCAUCCUCUCAGACCAGCUACGGAUCGUCGCCUUGGUGAGCCGUUACCUCACCAACCAGCUAAUCCGACAUAGGCUCAUCCGAUAGCGCGAGGCCCGAAGGUCCCCCGCUUUCCCCCGUAGGGCGUAUGCGGUAUUAGCCUGGGUUUCCCCACGGUUAUCCCCCACUACCGGGCAGAUUCCUAUGCAUUACUCACCCGUCCGCCGCUCGCCACCAGGGAGCAAGCUCCCCGUGCUGCCGCUCGACUUGCAUGUGUUAGGCCUGCCGCCAGCGUUCAAUCUGAGCCAUGAUCAAACUACUGA
rnacentral:rRNA from 1 species